rnacentral:pre_miRNA from 1 species
AUGUGGGGCAAUGUUUCUUUAAGCAAAGUGAAGUACUCUUUAAAACUGGGUCCUAGAUAGUUUCUCCUUCAAAUCAAGUGCUUUGA